rnacentral:rRNA from 1 species
AUUGAACGCUGGCGGCAUGCCUUACACAUGCAAGUCGAACGGUAACGCGGGGCAACCUGGCGACGAGUGGCGAACGGGUGAGUAAUGCAUCGGAACGUGCCCAGUAGUGGGGGAUAGCCCGGCGAAAGCCGGAUUAAUACCGCAUACGACCUACGGGUGAAAGCGGGGGACCGGUAAGGCCUCGCGCUAUUGGAGCGGCCGAUGUCAGAUUAGGUAGUUGGUGGGGUAAAGGCCUACCAAGCCUUCGAUCUGUAGCUGGUCUGAGAGGACGACCAGCCACACUGGGACUGAGACACGGCCCAGACUCCUACGGGAGGCAGCAGUGGGGAAUUUUGGACAAUGGGCGCAAGCCUGAUCCAGCCAUGCCGCGUGCGGGAAGAAGGCCUUCGGUUGUAAACUGCUUUGUCAGGGAAGAAAUAGUUCCGGGUUAAGUAACCUGGGAAGAUGACGGUACCUGAAGAAUAAGCACCGGCUAACUACGUGCAGCAGCCGCGGUAAAGUAGACGUGU